CCAAUGGCGUAUAUUAAAGUUGUUGCAGUUAAAAAGCUCGUAGUUGAAUUUCGAGAUCAGUACGCUGGUCGUGCCUUCGGUAUGCACUGGUGUCACUGGUUUCUCCCUUCUGAAGAACCGUCAUGUCAUUAAGUUGGUGUGGCGGGGAAUCAGGACUGUUACUUUGAAAAAAUUAGAGUGUUUAAAGCAGGCUCGCGCUUGAAUACAUUAGCAUGGAAUAAUGAAAUAGGACGUUUGACCCUAUUUUGUUGGUUUCUAGGAUCGACGUAAUGAUUAAUAGGGAUAGUUGGGGGCAUUAGUAUUCAAUUGUCAGAGGUGAAAUUCUUGGAUUUAUUGAAGACUAACUACUGCGAAAGCAUUUGCCAAGGAUGUUUUCAUUAAUCAAGAACGAAAGUUAGGGGAUCGAAGACGAUCAGAUACCGUCGUAGUCUUAACCAUAAACUAUGCCGACUAGGGAUCGGAUGAUGUUAAUUUUUUAAUGACUCAUUCGGCGCCUUACG
rnacentral:rRNA from 1 species